UUUUCUUUAACAGGGGAGCAACCUUGCCCGUGUGGUCUGCAAAGUCAGGCAUGUGCUGACUGCUUGAUGAUGGCGAUGAGAGCAGAGCAGCAGGCUGGAGGAGCUGCCUCACACUGUGCCAUGUCCACCUGCGCUGUGAAGAAGUUGAUGCAAUGAGAUCAACUGAAGCAGAGUAACGUGGAUAAUACUGGCCUGUGUGAAAAAUUCUAGCGUAAGUAGCUUAAUUUCUCAAGUGGGACAGAGCUGAAGCAGAAUAAGUCCUGCAUGCUGCCUACCAUUUAGAAUAGCGAAGGGGUAUUUAAAGACUAUCUGCCCCUGGAUACCCAAUGUUUUUCCUACUGAGAGGAGAGAAGAGCUGCAGCAGGUGUGCUGGAAAUGUUCAGUCUGGAUUGCUUUGCCCCUUUAAGAAGAAAAUCCAUUUCUGAAGGAGUCAUAGCUAGGGCGCAUGGUAGAAAGGCUUGAGAAGUUUUGCUGUCAUCUUUGUUUUUAUGCCCAAAGACUGUACCAAGUAGAUCAGAAAUUUUGUCUGCUGCACUCAUAACUUUCUGGAUGGAGACAGUGCUCAGCACAGCUUGCAAACAGGAGUGCUCAUGGUGGGGUUGCUGAGAACCAAAAGCAUAAUUUGUAAUUGGGGUGGGACCAUUUCAGAUGAACCACCUGGAUAUUGUGCAUCUCUCACUCACUGAUAAUUGCUGCAAUUUGUAUUUACAGAAUUUAGUUUCUUUAUUUUGUUUUUUUUUGAUUGUUGAACCUCCAUCACUCAAACUGUCUUGGUAACCACAGCAGCUUACAUAGGAAGCAGAGCACUCCUUUUUAAGGGUGAGAUCUUCAUGGGCCUCUUCUGGAGAGCAGAGUUGCAGCCACUUAAGUACCUUAGAUUUAGUGAUGUGAAACUGUCAGUUAUUUGACACAUUGUGGCAGCGAUUAUAUGACCAUAGAAAUACUUUGUUGUGUAUCAGUGGUUAGUUAACAUAGCCCAGCAUGAACCAGGAGAAUGGCACCUCAUGUGGUGCUUCAUUUUUGCAAAGUGUUUGUGGAGUAGAGCAGGAGUAACACCGUCCAUUGUAAUUUCACAUGUUAUCUGCUGCUACUUGCUUUCACAAGUUCUUAUUAAACACAACAAGAA
rnacentral:lncRNA from 7 species